AUAAACNUUGNCAAUAAUGUACAAAUAUUAUCCGCCAGGGAACUACAAGCGCAUUGUUCGAAACCCAACGGACUUGGCGGUGCCCCACACCCACCUAGAGGAGCCUGUUCUAUAACUGACACUCCCCGUUUAACCUCACCAUCCCUAGCCAAAUCAGUCUAUAUACCACCGUCGCAAGCUCACCCUAUGAAGGACCAACAGUAAGCAAAAUGGGCACAACCCAGCACGUCAGGUCGAGGUGUAGCACAUGGGAUGGAAAGAAAUGGGCUACAUUCUCUGCCUAACAGAGUACACGAACACUACCAUGAAACUGGAAAUUGAAGGAGGAUUUAGCAGUAAAAAGAAAAUAGAGAGUUCUUUUGAAGCUG
rnacentral:rRNA from 1 species